GAUGAACGCUGGCGGCGUGCCUAAUACAUGCAAGUCGAGCGAACGGACGAGAAUCUUGCUUCUCUUAUGUUAGCGGCGGAUGGGUGAUUCAUACGUGGCUACCUUACCUAUAAGACUGGGAUAACUUCGCGAAACCGGAUCUCAUACCGGAUAAUAUUUUGAACCUCAUGGUUCUACAGUGCAAGACCUUCUUGCUGUCACUUAUAGAUGUAUCCUCGCUGCAUUAGCUAGUUGGUAAGGUAACGGCUUACCAAGGCUACGAUGCAUAGCCGACCUGAGAGGGUGAUCGGCCACACUGGAACUGAGACACGGUCCAGACUCCUACGGGAGGCAGCAGUAGGGAAUAUUCGGCAAUGGGCGAAAGCCUGACGGAGCAACGCCGCGUGAGUGAUGAAGGUCUUCGGAUCGUAAAACUCUGUUAGUAGGGAAGAACAUAUGUGUAAGUAACUGUGCACAUCUUGACGGUACCAAAUCAGAAAGCCACGGCUAACUACGUG
rnacentral:rRNA from 1 species